GUAGACGGAAGGGACGUUGGGACCAAUAACGGAUACGACUUGGCCACGGUUGAUUCCGAGGGAAGGGGAAGAUAGAGUCGAAGCUAUGCGGAGACAUCGGGAAUGAGUUUCGGACCAAGUACGGACGGUGGUUGUGUGGAGGAGGGAAGGUGAGUCGCCGUAGACAGAGGCGGCUCGGUCUAAGUAGCCGAGAACUGUGAGAGGUGAUGAGUUUGAAGGGUGUGGGAGUAAAAGUUCCAUAGUUGAUAAUGUCUUGAUAGUUUAACUAUAAUGUGUUUUAAGUUAUUACUUUUGAUACGGCUUUAGUGGAAUAUAUAUAAAUAUUUUGUUCGUAUGUGGUUAGGUGAAAUAGUAAUCAUUAUCUUGCAACAUUAUAUUUCUAGGUUAAGCUAAUACUAGAAUUACAAAUAAUCAUGAAAUAUAACUUAGCUUUCUAUGUUUGGGAAUAAUCAUAUCAACUUUUGAAGAACAAAAAGUGUGGUUUAAUUGUAUUCAAGUAUACAUAUAAAAUAAAAUAUGAAACAAAGAAUUAAUAAAUUUUCUUUGGAACUAACGUGUACGUAUCAUCGUUAUAAGAAGCAAAACAAAUUUAAGCAAGAUGAAUUAAGUGUACUAAUCUGGUAUUAGCUAUAAUAAGAGAUAUAUAGUUUGCAUUAAAAGAAAGAUAUUAUAACAAGACGUAAUUGCAUAUAUCUACCGACAAACAUAGUAAAUUGCCUCAACGACCCAGUUAAUGCUGAAAGGUUGUUGCCUGUUGGAAAGUGGAAGUUUGGAAACCGCAACCUACUAUUCAUUUAAAUUAAAUUUAUCCGAGAUGUAAAGAAUUGCGAAAAUGCUUUAUUGAUGUAUUUAUAUUUCGAAGAUUGUUAAGACAAAACGACAUACUCGAUGUUUUAUUAGGGAACGUGAAUACAUUAUUUACAUGCAAUAUGCAUGCGUGGAAUGAAUUUAGAAUGCAUAUUUAUCACACACUAAUUAGCCAUUCUCUUGUGUCAUUUUGGGUUACCAAACCUUUUUAAAUAAAGGAAGCACGAAAAAUAAUCUGCAAGUGUAUGUUAUACGUUACACGUAUCGAUCCAAGAUGGCAAGAUCGUAACCUAGAUUCAUGUGGAUAACCCUAAAAAGGUUAAUUGGAAGGAAAGUGUACAAAAAUGAAAUAUCUCAAACUUUCCUAAUAUUGAAAUUGCAAAUAAAAAACAUUUCUACUACAUUUCUUUGAAUGAAACGUAAUUCCUGUCUACAUAUUUAUCUAACCGGUAGGUGUCAUUGCAGAAAAAAAAAGAAUUGUUUCGUUUUUCAAUAAGAUUAUGAUGCACACUAUAUUUUUAACUUAAAAGAAACCUUAAUGUACGACUAUAUAUUAAGAUUCAACACAAAAGAUAGACCUAAUUAAAUAUCAUUGGCAAUAAUGGCAGCAAUUGUUAGAACACAAAUGGAACAUGAUGGGAAGAUGGUAUCAUGAUGGGAAAAAGUUAGAAUACAAGUCCCAAAACCUUUGUUCAAAAAAAAAAGUCCCAAAACGUUCAUCUCUCUAAUGAAAUAUACUCCAACAUUAAUGUGAUGAUAUACCCCUUCUCUUCAUUUGAUACUUAUACUGCAUCUUUAAUCCCCAAAAUGAAAUAUUUUUCAGUAUGUACGGUGAGGCCAUAUCAAUUUUUAUUUUUUUUGGUAAAAAGGCCAUAUCAAGUUUGUAGGAAUUGUGGUAUUAUUCAGUGCCACACCUAAUAUAUUUGAUAUGCAUGUAUAAAUUUUAUAAAUUUCCAGACGUUAUAUAAUUCAUAGUAGUACAUUCUCAAGUUGAAGACAAGGGCAUGUUACAAUUUUAGUAGUACAUGAUCUUAAAUGUCUCCUAACAGGUUGUCUGGAUACAAACGAUUAAACUAAGAACUCGAAAUUUAUGUAAAUAAUAAGAUGUAAUUUGGAUUAAAAUUUAUAAAAAAAACUAAGAAGCAUCAUAUCUUCGGUCAAGAACUAGCUCAUUAUAAAGGUGAGCAGAGUGCAAAAUCAACAUCCCAAUAGACAUUUGAUUAAAGAAUUAAAUCCUAAAAAUGUGGUCUUUAGAAACCCCUGUCCUACUUUGAAAAAGUUAGGAAGAUGAACAAAGACAAAAAAAUGUUUUUAGAGACAAGAAAUGUGUAAUAGUCUGCCUGUUUUUUUUCUUGAACCAAUCAUCUCAUUUAAUGGAUUAUGAAGUCACAUCUGUUCUUGAUCUUUCAAUGUGUCAGCUGCGUUAAGAAGCAUAUCCAUCCCUCCUACGCUAUUAUCCAACCCUCCUUUGCCUUUACUUCCCGGUUUGCUCUCGUUCAUCUUCCCUUUCAGUGUCUGCACAGCCCCCACCUUCUUCUUCUCAACCACAUUUCGAAACUUGCGCACUUUCUGAAUCGCAACUUUACAAGUCCUGCAAAACCAUUCUCCAUCUGGAACCGACGCACACGGAGGCUUCAUGCAGUAGAUGUGGUAAGCAUCAUCACACCCGUCGCACAAGACAAUCUUGUCAUCAUCCUUGUCGAUUAAGCAGUUUCUGCAUAAGCACGAGGAGCAGUACCAGCUGACGUUGUGUAGCUUUAUCUGCUUUGAAGUCAGACACCUGAUGUGGUAGUACUUGUGUGGGCAGAACGGGUGAUCGCAUGUGAUGAACCUGUUACCAUCGCCUUUCUCCACUUUUGUUCCACAUGUCCUGCAGAGCUCAGAAUCUAUCUUUGUCUCCAUGGCUUCAUCACCAUGAUUCAUCAUGUUGGAUGUUGAAUUCUCUUCUGAUCCGUUUGAGUCUUCUUUACGUUCUGCACUCGAAUCAUCAACGCAUCCGUUCUUAUCUGUCUUUAUCAGCAGCUUUUCGGUUUUCUUUUUCUCGCACACAACGCAAUUCUCGUGAGGUGAUCCGAAUCCAUUAGCUGUGCAGUUUAGGCAGUACCAAGUGUCUGAAGACAUCUCUUUCUCACCAGGAUGUGCACAUGAGACAUGGUACAUAUCUUCACAAUGAUCACAAGCUAAACAGUCCUUUACCACUGCCUUCUCUCCACAUAGCUUGCAAGCGUCUUCAACACUGUCGUUUCUGGUGGUCUCUACAUUAGGAUGAGGGUUAGGUUCCACAGUGUUGAACUGCUUCAACUUCCAGAUUUUGAGAAAGAACAAAAAAAAAACAUUAGGAUAUUUCUAAAAUAAAGUAAAUUGAAAAAGAUCAUUUAUUCAUGAGCCUCACCUGUUCGGUACAUGAGGUCUUUGAAAGCUCUAAGAGACUACCAGCAAGAGCAGCCAUACCAUUACCAACAUCCUGUAGUUUUUUCCAGACCUGUAAUCAGUAGUUAGGUUUAGUACUAAUCUAACGCAUAAGUAUCUUCAGGAAAAACACAGCCACAUUGCUUCAAGUUGAGAGUUUUGAGUUCAUCAUACUCUAUAACAUGCAUAGUUUUGAGUUACCUCUUGGAGAUCCGUUGAGAAGAGCACAUUUGAACCUUCAUAAGCACCCUCUUGCAUCCUGGUGUCUAUCAAAGUUCUGCAGGGAAGGUCUUCAAUCUUGACCCCUUGGAGAUUCUCGGAAAGCAACUUACUGAGGGAAGCAAACUCCUUUGAAGCUAAAACUUGAGACAGAACAUUCUGGCAACCGGCUGUCACAGUCUCAUACUUGGGGGGUUCGGUUGUUGGUUCAUCUGGAUUUGAAAGCUGGGGGAGUUCACCAGUAAGAUGAGUUCAAAUUACUAACCGCUGCCCUCAUUGGCUCCCAACUAUUUGGCAGAGAUGCCAACAAAAUCAGUGCUCGCACUUCAUCAUCAAACUCGAUUUCAACCGAUGACAGUUGGUUGACAAUCGUGUUGAACUCGUUCACAUGUGCGGCAACCAGGCCACCUUCUUCCAUCUUCAAAUGAAAGAGUUUCUUCAUGAGAAAUACCUUAUUGUUUGCCGAAGGUUUCUCAUACAUGUCAGAGAGAACUUUCAUGAGCCCUUCCGUGGUCUUCUCCUUCGCAACGUUGUGAGCAACGUUUUUCGACAGUGUUAACCUUAUAACACCCAGAACUUGUCUGUCAAGGAGCUCCCACUCAUCCUGAUCCAUCUUCUCAGGCUUCUUGCUCAGCGGUUGAUGAAGCUUCUUUCCGUACAGAUAAUCUUCAAUUUGCAUUCUCCAAAAUGCAUAAUCUGUACCGUCAAAUUUCCCGAUACUAUGCGCCAAACCGUCUUCGCCUCCCAUCGUUUCUGGAACCACCGUGUAUUAGAACACCUUCGUCGACAAACCGAUGUUACUGACAAAAUUCACUAUUCACGAAGUACUGUUCACGUGAAUAGUAACCCCACAAAAAAUUUGACCGAUCACCGUAACUCAGGCUCUGAUACCAGUUGUUAGGAAAUAUGCGGUCAAAUUUUGCGGAAAACCAGAAUUUGCGCAAUUUAGGGGAGCGGGAAAACACACACAAAAUUGUUAACGGAGUUCGGCCUGCUUUUGCCUACGUCUCCGGACCUGCUACAGAUCUUUUAUUAUCAACCCGGGAAAUUUUUACAAGCUCUCAACUCACACCCGACCCCAAAUACACUCAAGAAAUUACACUUAAUUUCUUAUAGAGAAAGAUUUUCUCACAAGAAAGAUUUUUUUUUUUUCUCUCUCUUGCUCACUCUCUUCUUCUCUUGUUUUCUCUUUGUUUUUGGGAUGAAUUUCUUCUUCUCCUUGUGUGGUUAUUUAUAGGAGAUUAUGGGGAGUUGGUGAAACUUCUUGUUGCACCUACCAAAAACACAAAAGAAAUGUGUUGUUGAAUUAAUCAACAAACAUGUUCUUGAUACAACUUCUUGUUGUACCUACCAAAAAAACAUGUUCUUUACACAGAGCCGGCCUUUGGGCCAAGCCAAUGAAUCCCAUGCUUCCGGCCACAAAAUUUAAUCAAGUAUUUUCGGCCACCAAAUUCAUAAAAACUUCUUUAGUCUAGUGGUAUAGCAUACAAAUAAUAGACUUCUUUGCGGCGUCCUGGGUUCGAAUCUGCUUCCACAUUUUUUUUUUUGGCUUCCAGCCUUAUAAAACCUAGGACCGGCUCUGCAAAGGUGGUGAUAGCCACAAACAUAAACCCUAAGUUAGUUGGAGGUAUAAAGUUAACACUAUGCUAAUAUCCUUCAUUCUUGACAUUUUAGCUGACAUUCACACUGUAUUAACUUGCUGAUACUUCAUAUUAGGUAUAUGGAUUAGCAAACUUGCUCAGUAAUCAGUAAUGACAAAGUUGUAGGGUCUGCUUUUUUCCACGUCGGCUGUUCCUAAAGAAGGUCUCUUCGCGUGAAAAGCAUUGACAGGAACGAAAGAGGAUGCACUGGUGAUGCAUUGUUGAGGAUCAGACAGCAGCAACAUAUAUCCCAAAUCAGACAACUCUAGCUGAUAGAGACACUGGUGAGGAUGAUUUAGCUGAGGCGUAAGAGCGUUCCGCGCAAGAAGAUGCGUAACGAGUAACGACCUACAGAUCGUGAGAAAGUGUUAGACGACAUCCUCAUAACUAUGUUGCACUCCAGGCUUUUAAAAAAAAAAACAAAUUUAAAGGACUACGACUACUACUAUAUUUAAACUAUGUUUAUGAGUUUUAUUCUUUUUGGUUAGUUAUUUCGACCAACCUCUUCCUUUUUAUAUUGAAUAAAUUAUGAUCAGCUGCGUCCUCAGUACUCUCGGUUUAUAUGCGCCAAACCCCCACACAUGAAGAUUGAUUUUAAACAAGGCUUCAAGUGGUUUUAAGCAGGUGGUUAAAAAAUCUAUGUAAUCAAAGCUCAAAAAAAAUGGAGGAUAAAAGCAGAAUUGCCAAAAAAUCGAAUACGAAUUCAUGUUCGAGUACCCUAAUAAUGACAGACAGAAACACAGUUUCAUACUGAUUGUUUGUAAACUUACUGAAGUUGGAUUAAAUAAUAUUAUAUAUAUACAACUAAUUUAUUUUAAAUACAAUUACAAUGUAAUAUAAUUUAAUAAUAAUAAUAUUCAAUAAUAGGAUAUAAUAAAUUAUUAAAAUAUUAUAUGUAACAAAUUCAAUGUACAAAACAUAUUUUGAAAAUUCAUAAUAUAAUUUCUAUUAAAAAUCUUGAUUAGUUAUUCGUACAACACCCCCAGAACAUCACCCUCUCAACACACACCCUUUCCACUACAACAUUUACGCUACAAAAUAAAAUUUCAACAAAAAAAUGCAAACAAAAAGAAACAAAACAUGUGCCACCACUUAGGUUUCAACUAGGUCCGAGCAUAUAAACAGAGUAUCAAAACCGAAUCUGAACCAAAGCGACUGUAUCUUAAACUUAAUCAAAGUUCACAGAUAAUCGAGCGGUUCCUAUAUUUUUGGAACCAAAAAACCGAAACCGAACCGAACUGAGAACCAAAUUCCGAAUAUCUAAAAUACAGUUCACAAACCAAAAAUAUUAACUAUGUUAAAUUUUAAAAUUACCAAAAUAUAAAAUACUACUUAUAAACCAAAUACCAAAAUAUCCAAAACAUCUGAAUAUUUUUUUACAAUUUUUUAAAAUUAUUCGAAUUACCUAAAAGAACCGAAUUACCCAAAUAGCUUUUAUUCUGAAUAUUAAAAUUUAUCAUAAUUACUCGAUAUGUAAUUUGAAAAACUAAAAGUAUGUUAACCGAACCAAACUCAAACUGAACCAAAUUUUAUAAAUAACCGAACAAUUCAGUUAUCUCAGGAACCAAAAGACAAAAAAUUAACAUAAUUAAACCAGAACCGAAUCGAAAACCAAACGUCUGUACAUGAUUUCAACUGUUUGGAGAACAAUUAAACACAUAUCUAAAAGGCAACAAAUAUAAUCAAUAACAAUUACACCGUAGAUGUUUCAAAAAAAUACAUUAAAUUUAUGAAAUAGGUAAUAGAACACAUAGAGAAACUAUGUUCUACUAGUUAUAUCAGAUCCCGCUCGAAGCGCGAUAAAACCACAAGUAAAUGAUAAAAUCAAGAAGUUUACUUGUUUGGUUAGAAUUAAUGUCUAGUUGUACCAUCUAAACAGUUUUAUAAAUGCCGACAAGAGAAACUGUUUUAUAAAUAUCUAUGUCUAACUAAAGGUAUAACUUGCAUUUUGUUAAAGAUUUGAUAUUUUUUUUCACUGUAUAUUUUUUUAAUAAAUCUGUCUCUCCAAAACUCGAAAAUUGGAUCUUAUAGUUUUUUUUUUGGAAAAAAAACUGGAUCUUAUAAAAAAAUAAUUAAUCUCUGUUAAAUGAGAUGAAGGGUUCGACGUUUGAACUUUUAUGUAAAUGUUGAUGUAAAAAUACACCAAAGAGAAUGUGACACGUCAGUAAAUUAGUUAAAAAAAUCUCGAUUUUUGUUAAUUCUAAUCUUUUUCUCCCAUCGAUACGAGCAACUCCGAAGGGGACUCUGCUCUUUUUUAAAAAAAAAAAAAAAAAUUGGGGAAACGAAUUUGAUCCGCGGCUUUCAAACUCGCGUGAGUUGCAAUUUUCUCGUACUAUCGAUCGUCUUUAUUGGGUCGGCGAUUUAGGGUUUUGAUGCGUUGAAUUGCGUAGAUUGUUUCCCUCCUCUCUGUGAGACAUUCUGGGUUCCGAAAGAUUUGAUUUUGAUAUUAAAAAGUUAAAAAAAAAAUUUGAUUUUGAUUAUAACCCCCAGUCUAAUUCGUGUCUUGUUUACUCAUAAUGCAGGUUGUUCAAAAAGAUUUGAUUUUUGAUUAUAACCCAGUCUUGUUUUCUUCUUUUUUUUUUUUUGUUCUUGUUGUUUCCUGAAUCAGUUCUCACCACUGCCAUUGGAUCAGUGUUUGGUAUCUAUAGAGAGCUAUGGAACACUUGUUUUGGUGAAAGUGCCUUCCUCUUGCUUGAUGUGGAGAUAUUGAACUUUUUUGCUUUCACUGUUUUCAAAAUGGAGUGGAGAGGAAUCAUCUGCACUCUCUUCUUUAUUCUUUCCAUUGGAGAGUCCUCAAGCAGAUUCCAGAUGAUUUGGCUUCCUAACCUCGGUGCUGGUGUUGACGUUGCUGGAACAUACUUCACUUGGCCAAUCUUAAGUGCCAGCGUUUUCGUUACUGUGGCCAUCCUCAUCUCCAUGUAUCUCAUCUUUGAGCACCUAGCUUCUUAUAAUCAGCCUGAGGUUGGUUUGUUCAUCUGUAUAACUUUUUUCACUGAUUAAAGCUGGAACAUUGCUAAUUGAUCAUAACUUUUGUUACAGGAACAGAAGUUUCUUAUUGGACUUAUUCUCAUGGUCCCUGUCUAUGCCCUGGAAUCGGUAUAUGAUUGAUAAGCUUACUACUAUAUAUGUUACAUCCCAUAUUUGUAGCUCAGUUUCCACAUUUAGAAUAGUUUCCUGAUUCUUUGAUCUAUAUGAUUCUCUUCCUGCAGUUUCUGUCUUUGGUGAACUCAGAAGCAGCUUUUAACUGCGAGGUGAUUCGCGAUUGUUAUGAAGCCUUUGCACUCUACUGUUUUGAGAGAUACAUGAUAGCUUGUCUAGGUAAAUGAUGCUUCACAUUUUCUUGAUUCACUUGAAGAUAUCUUUGGGAUUCUUGUUUUCAUCUCUGUAUCCUCCACAGAUGGAGAAGAACGUACGAUUGAAUUCAUGGAGCAACAGACAGUGAUCACCCAGACCACUCCUCUUCUCGAAGGCACAUGUUCUUAUAAAGUUGUGGAGCAUCCUUUCCCAAUGAACUGUUUCCUUAAAGACUGGAACCUUGGUCCUCAGUUUUAUCACGCUGUUAAAAUUGGCAUCGUUCAAUAUGUAUGUCACUACUGUCAUGAAAACAAUCUUGUGGACUAUUAUGCUCUAUGAUCUUCUAUUCAAACUGACUUUAAAAAAUUUCUGCUUCUUCAGAUGAUACUGAAGAUGAUCUGUGCUCUAUUAGCAAUGCUCCUUGAAGCCUUUGGAGUUUAUGGAGAAGGCAAGUUCCAAUGGAACUACGGGUAAUCUUCUUUCUUUUCAUCAUCCAUUCUCGUCGGGAUCCGGGUACAACCUAAUGAAACAUUCAAAUUAAGAAAAAAAAAUAAUUACUACUCCUUCCAUUUCAGAAAGUAGGAUUUUCUAAAUUUAUUUUUUUUUGUUUUAAAAUGAUAGAUUUUCUAGAAUCUUAAAGUGCUUUUAGUAGUUAAUGUUGAUAAGUUAUAUAUUUUUAAGAAACAUUAAUUGAAAAUAUUUAGUUAUUGGAAAAUGUAUAAUAAAGUAAACAAUAAAUUUAAUUGUAAAUAUUUAUUAUAUUUUUAAUAUUCGUGAAUACUCUAGAAAAUCUAACGAGUACUAAAAGUUCUUAGGAAGUGUUUAUAGUCUCCAAAAUCUCAGAUCCGGCCCCUGUAUGUGUUCGUCCUUGUCUUGAUUCUAACUUGGUAUGAUUAUUGUAUGUUGUCUCAUUUGCAGGUAUCCAUAUCUGGCUGUAGUCCUGAACUUCAGCCAAACAUGGGCGUUGUACUGCCUUGUACAGUUCUACAACGUCAUCAAAGACAAGCUAGCACCCAUCAAACCAUUAGCCAAGUUUCUAACCUUCAAGUCUAUUGUAUUCCUCACCUGGUGGCAAGGCAUCAUCGUCGCGUUCCUCUUCUCCAUGGGACUCUUCAAAGGGUCUUUAGCUAAGGAGCUCAAAACGAGGAUACAAGACUACAUCAUCUGCAUAGAGAUGGGUGUUGCCGCCGUGGUUCAUCUCUACGUCUUCCCAGCGGCUCCCUACAAGCGCGGGGAGAGAUGCGUCCGCAACGUGGCGGUGAUGUCGGAUUACGCGUCUAUAGACACGCCUCCUGACCCGGAAGAGGUUAAGGACAGCGAGAGAACGACUAGGGUGAGGUACGGGAGGCAUGAUGAUGAGUGGGAGAAGCGGUUGAACUUCCCGCAGAGCGUGCGGGAUGUGGUGGUGGGGAGCGGGGAGAUCAUUGCUGAUGACAUGAGGUUCACGGUUUCUCACGUGGUGGAGCCGGUGGAGAGAGGGAUAGCGAAGAUUAACAGGACGUUUCAUCAGAUAUCUGAAAACGUGAAGAGGUUUGAGCAGAAGAAGAGGAGGACUAAAGAUGAUUCGUAUGUGAUUCCGCUGAAUCCGUGGACGAAAGAGUUCUCUGAGGUUCAUGAGGAUCUCCAUGAAGGAGGGAGUGUGAGUGAUAGCGGUUUGGGGAGUACGAAGCGGCGUCAACAGUCUAGAGUCUCGGGACUGUGGAGUAGAAUGCGAAGGUGAGGACGAAAGAGUUCUCGUCUUCUUGACCAUUUUGACAAAAGAAGCUGUAGAUGUUUAUGAGAUGAUGAUGCUAAUGUGAUGGGUUACUUACACAGAGGUAACAAACAGAUUGCUACUAACUAGAUUUCUCUGCUCUUGAUACAACUUUAUGGAGAAGUUAGAAUCUGUAUUUCGCUUAUGACAGAUGUUUACACUAAAAAAGAUUUUAAAAUAAAAUUGUUGUGGUUAAAGAAUCUUAUCCUAGAAUUUGUUGUGAACCAAACUUCCACAUGUUGUGUUGGUUCUCAUUUCUCGAAUCUACCAUUCAAGAUGGAUAACGUUAUAACCAAAUGUUGAAGAAAUCGUUAAUCAGUAGUAAGGUAUUCUCUAUGGGAAUUUAAAGUUUAAACGGGAAUUAGGAGUUAAUAAAUUAAUGGGUAAUUGCACUAGAUAGCCAUAGAAAUAAAAUAUAUUAACUUAGUGGAGAGGGUACUGUUAACAUUUCUAAUUCACGGUAAUAACCCUCCUAGCUAGAGUGUAUGUCAUCUAGUUGUUAUAUACAUCAGAUCUCGCUGUCCCAGUGUUUCUCCCUCUCUAUCUUUCUCUCUAUCUCUUUCUACAUCCUGAUUUUUUUUCUUUAAUUCACUUUCAUUUUUAUCAGAUUCUAAAUACUAUUAAUAAAAACUUUGAAAACUUUUGACUUCUUAGUAUGAAAAUGUAUGAACAUGUCCAUUCACUAUUAAAACAAUAAUUAAUAAAGAUUUGUCAAGUAUAUUCCAUUUAUGAAAAAUUAAUAAAAAUUAAUAUUAAUUGUCAAAAAAAUAUUAACAUUGUUAACACCGUUAGCUAAACCGUAAACCUUAAACCCUAGGGUUCACCCUUUAAAGUAGGAUUUAGGGUUCACUCUCUAGGGUUUAGGGUUUGCAACUUAGGGUUUAGGAUUUUGCUAACAAUUGUUGACUGAAUUAACAAUUUCAAUGUUUUUUUCUUUUUUUCGGCAAUUAACUUUAUGAUUAAUUUUUAUUUUUUUAUAAACAAAAUGACUUGAUAAAUUUCUAUUGACUAUUAUUUUAGUGAUGUAUGCACUCGUUUAUCUUGGGGUGAACAUGUGCGUUCAUUAUUAAAAUAAUAAUCAAUAAAAAAUUCUUUAGUAGACAUUUCAUAAUUUUACAAAUGUGUACUAUGAUAUUUAUUUUGUUUGAUUCUAUUUGGAUUUAUGAUUUAUAUUUGGAUUUAAGGUUUAGUGAUUAUGAUUUAUGGUUUGAUAUUUAGAAGGUAGAAGUGAAAUUAUGGUCAACAUUAAAUUUUGAUAUUUGAGUUUAAGAUUUAUUUUUGAGUUUAGGGUUUAAUUUUUAGCUUAAGGUUUAGUGAUUAUAGUUUAUGGUUUAGUAUUUAGAGAGUGAGAGUAAAGUUAGGGUCAGUUUAGAUUUUAGGGUUUAUCAUUUAAUUUUUGGUUUAGGAUUUAGUGAUUAGAGUUUAUUGAUUAAUAUCAAGAGAGUGAAAGUGAAAUUAGAGUCAGCUUUAAAUUUUAAUAUUGAACCGUUACAUACAACACACUCUCAUGUUAAUGUUUGAUAUUUAGUAAAAAUUAUUUUUUCCGACACUCUUCUGACACAUAACUACUUCCCUAUAAUAAUACCUUUCUAAUUCUACGAUUGGGAUGCCUACCUAUAAGAAACAAUGGAUUUGGACAAUAAGGUAACUUCACUUUGCUUCAGUUAUCCGGUUACCUAAAAACUAUUUUAUUUGCAUGGAUUCCUAAUUAUCUUUGUAUUUGUGGUUUUCCAGCCAAUUUGGCCUAAAUUAAUUAUAUAUUUAUAUUGAAUAAUUUAUUUUAGGUUUGAUUAUAAAAUUAUUUCGAUGAAUUAUAAAAAGUAGAUAUACAAAAAGAUUUAGUUCAAAAAAAAAUAUACAAAAAAACAAAAUUUUGAACUUACACUUAUUACUAAAUUUAGGAUCCAAAUGGUAACCAUUAAAAUAGGAAUAUGAAUCAGUAGGAAAUGAAUGAAUAGAAACAAAAAAAAAGAAUAAAAAUAAAUAUUUGUUUCUUUUGUUCCGUAUCAAUUUUGAUAUGGAAUGUUUGUGAAUGUUUGUCUUCUAUAGUUCCUUAAAAUUCAAAGAAUCAAACGCAUCAAAAAUUUCCCAUAAAUGGUGUAAUUUUUAAAGAAUGAGUAGGAAUUGACUAUUCUCAUUAAUUCCUUAUGUCACCAUUUGGACCCUUAACCGAUUUAUACUAAUAUAGAUCAAACUAGACAGUUUAAAUCGAUUUUUAACCACUUAAUUUAGGCGGACAUCUUACACUAUUUUAAGAAUUUUGGUUAUAACCAUUCCAAAGAGGUAAAAGCUGCAAAAUAACUAGUAAAGAAGAGAAGAACAUCUUCAGACAUAGGGACAAGAAAACAGAGUUAAACUAAUGAACCAGAGACUUGCUACUUUAGGUAUAGAGUAGAACUUAGUAGCAUACAAUGUAAUAAUAAAAACAAAUCAAAGAUUGUUCUUCAUCAAGGCAUAGACUUAGCCAUUUGUCUGAGAAGAAACUUCUGAAUCUUUCCAGUUGAAGUCUUAGGAAGCUCCUCCUGAAAAACCACAUUCCUCGGAACCAUAUACUUUGGCAGCUUCGUCUUGCAAAACUCUCUUAUCUCUCUCUCAGACACAGACCCAUCAAGACACUUCAAGCUCACAAACGCACACGGUGUCUCUCCCCACAUCUUGUCUGGCUUAGCCACCACAGCCGCCUCCUUAACCACAGGGUUCGUGUACAGAACCGUCUCAACUUCCUUACUGCUAAUGUUCUCUCCUCCGCAUAUGAUCACAUCCUUUGACCUAUCCUUGACCUCCAAGUAACCGUCCGGGUGCAUCACACCCAUGUCUCCAGUGUAGAACCACCCGUCUUCUCUCAUACUCGCCGCGGUGCCUUCCGGGUCUUUGUAGUAACCCAGCAUAACCGAACCGCCUCUAAAAACAAUCUCUCCCACGGUUACUCCAUCGUGCUUAACGCUUUUACCAGUUAGCGUGUCCCUCACGUCAACUUCUGCAAACACAGCCGUUCUAAUCCCUUGCCUUGAUUUCAGUUUUGCUCUCUCACUUUCUCCAAGACCAUCCCAUUCCGGCUUCCACGCGCAUGAGACAUUCAGACAACCAGUUUCCGUCAGCCCGUAACCGUGUCCCACAUCAAAACCUAGACUCUCAGCGCUGGAGAUAACCGUCUCCGGUGGAGGAGCUCCAGCUGUCAUAACCCGAACCGGUUGUUUAAGCUGUCUUCGAGAUGGAGAGUUUGUCAACAUGUUGAGAACCAUCGGCGCAGCGCACAUGUGUGUCACGUGAUGCUUGUCUAUCGAAUCGUAGAUAGUCUUCGCGUCAACUCUUCUAAGGCAUAUGUUUGUAGCCCCAACAGCGGCUGUGGCCCAUGUGUAGCUCCAACCGUUAGCGUGAAACAUCGGUAAGGUCCAUAAGUAAACCGGCCGGUUAGGCAUGGACCAGUCGAGCAAAGAGUUAAUAGUACUCAUGAAAACGGCACGGUGGCUAAGUACUACACCUUUGGGAGACGACGUCGUUCCGGAGGUGUAGUUAAGCACCAUUGGGUUCCACUCGCUGCUAGGACGCACCCACUUGAACGUCUCGUCUCCUCUCUCCAUAACACCUUCGUACGUGUCUAGAAACUCCACGUUAGAAGAUAACGACAUGUUGACGUCAUCUUGGAGGAGGACGAGACGUGGCUUCUCGUUCUUGGGCAAGAACGAGACAGCUUCAAGAACUAAAGAACUCGAGUGGUGGUCGACGAAAACGAGCUUGGUUUCGCUGUGACGCAGGAGGACUGAGAGUGCGUUAGCGUCUAAGCGAGGGUUGAUGUUGUUGAGGAUGGCCCCGGACAUAGGAACCGCGAACUGAAGCUCGUAGACGGAAGGGACGUUGGGACCAAUAACGGAUACGACUUGGCCACGGUUGAUUCCGAGGGAAGGGGAAGAUAGAGUCGAAGCUAUGCGGAGACAUCGGGAAUGAGUUUCGGACCAAGUACGGACGGUGGUUGUGUGGAGGAGGGAAGGUGAGUCGCCGUAGACAGAGGCGGCUCGGUCUAAGUAGCCGAGAACUGUGAGAGGUGAUGAGUUUG
rnacentral:lncRNA from 1 species